rnacentral:rRNA from 1 species
CCUACGUGAGGCAGCAGUGGGGCAUAUUGCGCAAUGGGCGAAAGCCUGACGCAGCGACGCCGCGUGAGGGAUGAAGGUCUUCGGAUCGUAAACCUCUGUCAGCAGGGAAGAACGGUCACUGUGCUAAUCAGCAGUGAAUUGACGGUACCUGCAAAGGAAGCACCGGCUAACUCCGUGCCAGCAGCCGCGGUAAUACGGAGGGUGCGAGCGUUAAUCGGAAUUACUGGGCGUAAAGCGCUCGUAGGCGGUAUGUCAAGUCAAGGGUGAAAUCCCCGCGCUCAACGUGGGAACUGCCUUUGAAACUGGCAAACUGGAGUGUGUGAGAGGAUAGUGGAAUUCCAGGUGUAGGAGUGAAAUCCGGAGAUAUCUGGAGGAACAUCAGUGGCGAAGGCGACUAUCUGGCACAUAACUGACGCUGAGGAGCGAAAGCGUGGGUAGCAAACAGGAUUAGAUACCCCAGUAGUC